CCCAGACCCCUCCCCUCAGCCUGGACCCCCACACCCAGCUGGGAUCCUUUGCCCCGAGCAUCCCCCCUUGCACCGUGCGGGCGGCCGUGCAGCUGGGCGAGUCCGGAGGGGGCCUCCAGCCACCCGGGAGGUCCCUCACCCUCCUCUGCCAGGCCUCCGGCUUCACCUUCAGUGGCUACAACAUGUUCUGGAUCCGACAGGCGCCCGGGAAGGGGCUGGAGUGGGUCGCGCAAAUUCACAGCGGUGGUGGCACAUACAUCGCGCCAUCGGUCCAAGGGCGCUUCACCAUCUCCAGGGACAACUCCCAGAGCACGCUCACGCUGCAGAUGAACAGCCUCAGGGACGAGGACACGGCCACCUACUACUGCGCCAAAGAAGAUAAUGAUGGUG